rnacentral:rRNA from 1 species
AACGAACGCUGGCGGCAUGCCUAACACAUGCAAGUCGAACGAUCCCUUCGGGGAUAGUGGCGCACGGGUGCGUAACGCGUGGGAACCUGCCCUUAGGUUCGGAAUAACUCAGAGAAAUUUGAGCUAAUACCGGAUAAUGUCUUCGGACCAAAGAUUUAUCGCCUUUGGAUGGGCCCGCGUUGGAUUAGCUAGUUGGUGGGGUAAAGGCCUACCAAGGCGACGAUCCAUAGCUGGUCUGAGAGGAUGAUCAGCCACACUGGGACUGUGACACGGCCCAGACUCCUACGGGAGGCAGCAGUGGGGAAUAUUGGACAAUGGGCGAAAGCCUGAUCCAGCAAUGCCGCGUGAGUGAUGAAGGCCUUAGGGUUGUAAAGCUCUUUUACCCGGGAUGAUAAUGACAGUACCGGGAGAAUAAGCCCCGGCUAACUCCGUG